CGUUUCGAAAGCGCGCGGUAGGCCGUGCUGGGACUCAGAGCCCGAAAACUGAUUUGAGGGGCGUCUUGACCGAAGAUGACCAGCUCCUGGAGACGCAAUGGAGAACCUGAAUGUCCCCUCGCUCCCCUGGAGUCUGUAUGCUGAGGAAGGGGCUACAGACAAUAGCCAGGCACUCACCCAAAUAAGACAUUCUUCAUGAAUUGUGAUUCAACUGAAAGCCCCCCUUAAGUUGACUGUCAGGGUGCUGAUACACAGAGCUACUCCUAGAAGAUUGAGGGUACAGGAUGAGCACAGGCAGGCCUCGCGGCUGCCUGGAGGGAGCUGUAAGCAGAGGAAGGUGAAGUGGCCUGAAGAAAUGUCUGCACUGGAGACAGUUGGGGCUGUGCGCCGCUGCCUGACGCAACAUCUUUUCAGACAUGGAGGAAGGAUCUGUUGGCAGAUCUUGGGACUCAGAUGGGCUGGACUUCUAAGAAAAAAUAUACCCAGGCCUCUCUAUUCCACCAAUUUUCAUUCUUUCAUACAUACAUAUUUAUUUAUUUAAACAGACUUUAUGUUUUAGGCAGUUUUAGUUCACAGCAAAUUUGAGCAGAAAAUGCAGAGGUCCCAUAGACUUCCUUACCCAGCAUGCCCAGAGCCUCCCGCUCUGUCAACACCCUGCAGCCGAUUCAUCUUACAGUCGAUGAAACGAUAUUCACACAUCAUUAUCGCCCAAAGUCCAUCAUCUACGUUACAGACUCUUGGUGUCGUACAUUCUGUGGGUUUGGACAAAUGUACAGUGACGUGUACCUGCCACUGCGGUGUCAUGCAGAAUAAUUUCAGCGCCUGAUAAUCCUCUGUGCUCCGCCUGCUAACCCCUCCCUCCCCCAAGCCCUGGUCCCCAAGGCUUUGCUUUCUCCAGAAUGUCACAUAGUUGGAAUGGUAUGGAACAUAGCCUUUUCAGAGUGGCUGCUUUCACUUAAUAAUAUGCAUUUACGUUUCCUCCAUGUUUUUUAACGGCUUGAUAGCUCAUUUCCACUGAAUAAUAUUCCAUGGUCCAGAUGUAGCCAUUUUCAUAGAUUUUUAAGAAGACAGAC